CUCAACGGUUCAAAGAAGAGAAAUAAAUUAUUGAAUCGCUAAUGUUAAAAAGUGAUUUUCAAGUCAAUAAUUUUAGAUUCCUUAUCAGAUUAAUGGACUGCAAGUCACUUUUAAUUAAUUCAAUAAAUCGGGCCAUACAAGGUCAAUUGUAGAAGCAAAAUAAUUAUAACUUUCAGGUUAAAAUUAUUUUAAAUGCCAAAAAUU
rnacentral:lncRNA from 1 species